GACGAACGCUGGCGGCGUGCUUAACACAUGCAAGUCGAACGAAGUGGCGAACGGGUGAGUAACGCGUAAUCAACCUGCCCUUCAGAGGGGGAUAACAGUUGGAAACGACUGCUAAUACCGCAUACUGAAGGAGGGGAUUGCGUCUGAUUCGCUAGUUGGAGGGGUAACGGCCCACCAAGGCGAUGAUCAGUAGCCGGGCUGAGAGGAUGAACGGCCACAGUGGGAAUGAGAACCGGCCCAGACCUCUACGGGAGGCAGCAGGGGGGAAUCUUCCGAAAUGGACGAAAGUCUGACGGAGCAACGCCUCGGGAGUGAGGACGGCCUUCUGGUUGUAAAGCUCUGUUAAUCGGGACGCGGUACCGGAAUAGAAAGCCACGGCUAACUACGUGCCAGCAGCCGCGGUAAUUC
rnacentral:rRNA from 1 species